rnacentral:rRNA from 1 species
UACGAAGGGGGCUAGCGUUGUUCGGAAUUACUGGGCGUAAAGCGCAUGUAGGCGGCGAUUCAAGUCGGGGGUGAAAUCCUGAGGCUCAACCUCAGAACUGCCUUCGAUACUGCAUUGCUAGAGUAUGGAAGAGGUAGGUGGAACUGCGAGUGUAGAGGUGAAAUUCGUAGAUAUUCGCAAGAACACCAGUGGCGAAGGCGGCCUACUGGUCCAUCACUGACGCUGAGGAGCGAAAGCGUGGGGAGCGAACAGG